rnacentral:rRNA from 1 species
UACGUAGGGGGCAAGCGUUGUCCGGAUUUAUUGGGCGUAAAGAGCGUGUAGGCGGCCAGAUAGGUCCGUUGUGAAAACUGGAGGCUUAACCUCCAGCGGUCGAUGGAAACCAUCUGGCUAGAGUCCGGAAGAGGAGAGUGGAAUUCCUGGUGUAGCGGUGGAAAUGCGCAGAUAUCAGGAAGAACACCCGUGGCGAAGGCGGCUCUCUGGGACGGUACUGACGCUGAGACGCGAAAGCGUGGGGAGCGAACAGG